rnacentral:rRNA from 1 species
GAAUUCGCCCUUGGGGAAUUUUCCGCAAUGUGCGAAAGCCUGACGGAGCAACGCCGCGUGAGGGAGGAAGGUCUUUGGAUUGUAAACCUCUUUUCUCAAGGAAGAAGUUCUGACGGUACUUGAGGAAUCAGCCUCGGCUAACUCCGUGCCAGCAGCCGCGGUAAUACGGGGGAGGCAAGCGUUAUCCGGAAUUAUUGGGCGUAAAGCGUCCGCAGGUGGUCAGCCAAGUCUGCCGUCAAAUCAGGUUGCUUAACGACCUAAAGGCGGUGGAAACUGGCAGACUAGAGAGCAGUAGGGGUAGCAGGAAUUCCCAGUGUAGCGGUGAAAUGCGUAGAGAUUGGGAAGAACAUCGGUGGCGAAAGCGUGCUACUGGGCUGUAUCUGACACUCAGGGACGAAAGCUAGGGGAGCGAAAGGGAUUAGAUACCCCUGUAGUCCUAGCCGUAAACGAUGGAUACUAGGCGUGGCUUGUAUCGACCCGAGCCGUGCCGAAGCUAACGCGUUAAGUAUCCCGCCUGGGGAGUACGCACGCAAGUGUGAAACUCAAAGGAAUUGACGGGGGCCCGCACAAGCGGUGGAGUAUGUGGUUUAAUUCGAUGCAACGCGAAGAACCUUACCAAGACUUGACAUGUCGCGAACCCUGGUGAAAGCUGGGGGUGCCUUCGGGAGCGCGAA